UCGGGAAUAUUGCACAAUGGGCGCAAGCCUGAUGCAGCCAUGCCGCGUGUAUGAAGAAGGCCUUCGGGUUGUAAAGUACUUUCAGUCGGGAGGAAGGUGUCAAGGUUAAUAACCUUGGCAAUUGACGUUACCGACAGAAGAAGCACCGGCUAACUCCGUGCCAGCAGCCGCGGUAAUACGGAGGGUGCAAGCGUUAAUCGGAAUUACUGGGCGUAAAGCGCACGCAGGCGGUUGAUUGAGUCAGAUGUGAAAUCCCCGGGCUUAACCCGGGAAUUGCAUCUGAUACUGGUCAGCUAGAGUCUUGUAGAGGGGGGUAGAAUUCCAUGUGUAGCGGUGAAAUGCGUAGAGAUGUGGAGGAAUACCGGUGGCGAAGGCGGCCCCCUGGACAAAGACUGACGCUCAGGUGCGAAAGCGUGGGGAGCAAACAGG
rnacentral:rRNA from 1 species